CGUUACUUUAACGGUCAUUUUCAACUGUUAUCUUUAAAGUCCUCACGACAAGAAGAUGGAAACUUGAGCGACUGGACGGAAGUGUUUAUUGAAGAAUUCAAAGAGCUGCGUCUACAUCCACCUACUGUACCGGAGUGGUAAUGUGUGUUCUCCCUUCGGUAGCCCUGGUGACGUGGACGUGGAGCUGGACAGGAUACUCCACCCAUCCACCUUAUCAACCUGCUGCAGACCACUGGUGUGGGCUGCCUGCGACCUGAUACCCCACCUCAUUGCAGGGGAGUCGGACCCAGCUCAGAUAGACUUCCUCACAUUUGCUGCGCCUGUGCUAUAACCCUGAAGUUAUCACACAGCAGCUGCUCGGUGGUUACGUAACACACACAGGAUGUGAUCAUCGUGCUAUCUUCCAGUGCAGCACCAUCAUCUUAACAGCAUCUUCACAUGAGAAGCUGCAGCAGAGAAAUGACCACAACAGCUGCAUCAGACUGCGACUGGUCUAAAGAGUGAGGAUCUCCCUCUCCUCUGAAGAAAACCUCGC